rnacentral:rRNA from 1 species
GGAAAGAUGAAAAGCACUUUGUAAAGAGAGUUAAAAAGCACGUGAAAUUGUUAAAAGGGAAACGAUUGAAGUCAGUCGUGAGCCCGGGAUUCAGCCGGCCCUGCCGGUCUACUUCCCGGGCUUGGGUCAACAUCAGUUCCCGUCGGUGGAUAAAGGCUGUGGGAAUGUGGCUCCCCCGGGAGUGUUAUAGCCCGCUGUCGCAUACGCCGGUGGGGACUGAGGAAUGCAGCUCGCCUUCAUGGCCGGGGCUUCGGCCCACGUUCGAGCUUAGGAUGUUGGCAUAAUGGCUUUAAACGACCCGUCUUGUAACACGGACCAAGGAGUCUAACAUGUGCGCGAGUCAUUGGGCUCUGCGAAACCUAAAGGCGAAAUGAAAGUGAAGGCCACGCACUUGUGCUGGUGCUUAGGGGUGAUGGUCGUUCCUACACGGGCGGCCCGCAACCCCGGGGCGUCUCGUUCUCUUUGAGAAGUGGCGCACCCAGAGCGUACACGUUGGGACCCGAAAGAUGGUGAACUAUGCCUGGCCAGGACGAAGUCAGGGGAAACCCUGAUGGAGGUCCGUAGCGAUUCUGACGUGCAAAUCGAUCGUCGGAGCUGGGUAUAGGGGCGAAAGACUAAUCGAACCAUCUAGU